UUUAGGAUAGAAAAUAUUUAUAGGAUGAAGAGUUUGAUCCUGGCUCAGGAUGAACGCUAGCUACAGGCUUAACACAUGCAAGUCGAGGGGCAACAUGAACUAGCAAUAGUUUGAUGGCGACCGGCGCACGGGUGAGUAUCGCGUAUCCAACCUAUCCAUUACUCGGGCAUAGGCUUUCGAAAGAAAGAUUAAUUCCCGAUGGUACGAUAAGUUCGCAUGAAUUUAUGGUUAAAGGAGCUUUCCGGUAGUGGUUGGGGAUGCGUUCCAUUAGACAGUUGGCAGGGUUACGGCCUACCAAAUCUACGAUGGAUAGGGGUUCUGAGAGGAAGGUCCCCCACAUUGGAACUGAGACACGGUCCAAACUCCUACGGGAGGCAGCAGUGAGGAAUAUUGGUCAAUGGGCGAGAGCCUGAACCAGCCAAGUAGCGUGAAGGAUGACAGUCCUAUGGAUUGUAAACUUCUUUUAUGGGAGAAUAAAAGAUUCCAUGUAUGGAAUAUUGCAUGUAUCCCUUGAAUAAGCAUCGGCUAACUCCGUGCCAGCAGCCGCGGUAAUACGGAGGAUGCGAGCGUUAUCCGGAUUUAUUGGGUUUAAAGGGUGCGUAGGCGGGAUGUCCAGUCAGUCGUGAAAUAUUGAGGCUUAACCUUAAUCUUGCGAUUGAAACUGACAUUCUUGAGUAUGGACAAGGUGGGCGGAAUUCGUGUUGUAGCGGUGAAAUGCUUAGAUAUCACGAAGAACUCCGAUUGCGUAGGCAGCUCACUGGGGCAUCACUGACGCUGAGGCACGAAAGUUCGGUUAUCAAACAGGAUUAGAUACCCUGGUAGUCCGUACUGUAAACGAUGAAUACUCGCCGUCUGCGAUACAUUGUAGGCGGUCAAGCGAAAGCAUUAAGUAUUCCACCUGGGGAGUACGCCGGCAACGGUGAAACUCAAAGGAAUUGACGGGGGCCCGCACAAGCGGAGGAACAUGUGGUUUAAUUCGAUGAUACGCGAGGAACCUUACCCGGGCUUGAAUUGCAGAGGAAUGUAGGUGAAAGCUUACCGCCGCAAGGUCUCUGUGAAGGUGCUGCAUGGUUGUCGUCAGCUCGUGCCGUGAGGUGUCGGCUUAAGUGCCAUAACGAGCGCAACCCUGAUGGUCAGUUACCAGCAUGUAAUGAUGGGGACUCUGCCCAGACUGCCGUCGUAAGAUGUGAGGAAGGUUGGGAUGACGUCAAAUCAGCACGGCCCUUACGUCCGGGGCUACACACGUGUUACAAUGGAUGGUACAGAGGGUCGCCACGUGGCAACGCGGAGCUAAUCCCCAAAUCCAUUCUCAGUUCGGAUCGAAGUCUGCAACCCGACUUCGUGAAGCUGGAUUCGCUAGUAAUCGCGCAUCAGCCACGGCGCGGUGAAUACGUUCCCGGGCCUUGUACACACCGCCCGUCAAGCCAUGGGAGUCGGGGGUACCUGAAGCACGUGUCCGUUACAGGAGCGUUCCAGGGUAAAUCCGGUGACCGGGGCUAAGUCGUAACAAGGUAGCCGUACCGGAAGGUGCGGCUGGAACACCUCCUUUCU
rnacentral:rRNA from 1 species